rnacentral:piRNA from 1 species
CACCCUGGUGACCUGCGACAGAG